UGGGAGGCCGACACACAAAUGGGGCUGCAGUGCUGCUCGAAUUGUCACCAUACCCCCUAGAAUAAACUGCCUUUUGAUGACCGGGACGAAUUGAGAGAAAUCAUAACCGACAGAUAUGGGGCAGACAGUU
rfam:Myotis brandtii contig226677, whole genome shotgun sequence.